GCAGGGCACUGAUAACAAAGGUCGGUUUUAUAAGACUUUUUCGGUUCUCACAUCAGCAGGGCACUGAUAACAAAGGUCGGUUUUAUAAGACUUUUUCGGUUCUCACAUCAGCAGGGCACUGAUAACAAAGGUCGGUUUUAUAAGACUUUUUCGGUUCUCACAUCAGCAGGGCACUGAUAACAAAGGUCGGUUUUAUAAGACUUUUUCGGUUCUCACAUCAGCAGGGCACUGAUAACAAAGGUCGGUUUUAUAAGACUUUUUCGGUUCUCACAUCAGCAGGGCACUGAUAACAAAGGUCGGUUUUAUAAGACUUUUUCGGUUCUCACAUCAGCAGGGCACUGAUAACAAAGGUCGGUUUUAUAAGACUUUUUCGGUUCUCACAUCAGCAGGGCACUGAUAACAAAGGUCGGUUUUAUAAGACUUUUUCGGUUCUCACAUCAGCA